UGCUUACUCUGAAGUAUGAUGUUUCUGUAUGGCACCUUAUAAAAAAUAGGCUAUUGUGAAGAAAACUAAAGAGCCUGCUAGUCAGAGGAGUCUGCUUGGCCGGUUCCAGUUGGCUGACUCCUAACAGCAGGACGCAUCCGCAGAUUCUCCUGAGGUUGCAGCUUUCCUGUUCCUUGUUUUGCCUUCCAUUUUCUAGGAUUUAAAAUGUUGGUGUGGUAAAAAAAAAAAAAAAAAAAAAAAAAAAAAACUGGUUAGAGAAGGCCCAACAGUCACCUGGUAUAGCUGAUUGGAAAUAAUAGCUAUAAAAACUUUCCCUACCCAGCAUUAUUAGUGAUGCAACACAAAAUAGCAGCCAUUCUAUAUGUCAGAAUGUCACCAUUUUAGAUGA